UUUAUCGUGUUUCACCGCAGCACCUCUGUGUUGAUAGCGCUAGCCAGCUAUAUAAGUUAAUGAUAGCUGCGAGCUAGCCCGUCUCAAUACAAUGUCUUGUUUUUAUGCUACAUUUUUAAUUCUGCGGAGAAAAAAUUGAGUCGUAUCAAACGUGUAUUCUUCGGGCUGUCAUGCUCGCUUCAGUUUAACGUUGGUGUAGACUUUCAGCCGCUUUUUCGGCUGGUUAACGGUACCCGCGUCCAUCUUUGCUUCUAGACAGUAUUAUAAAACAAGUCAUCCAGCGCAUUACACGAACAAACCACUGCAGUUGUUACAUUGGAAGCUACUUGACAUAGUUGACCGACAAUGUCAGUUUGAUCAGAUUACAUUUGGUGCCGUGUGAACGAGUUAUUCCGCACUUUUACAUAUUUACAUCUUAUUCUGCUAUUUCAGCGGUUUAAAACUUAAUUCAGGACUAUAAGUGACCUCUAGACUUCCCUAGGAAGCUAACGGUACACAUUUGGACGCUGGCCUCUUCGUCAUUAUGCGUCCUGAAUGUUUAUAUCCUGCUUUGUAUGAUCCGGGAACUCAAAUAACUCGUGGACUGCACUGCUGGGUUUUCUUCCUUAACUUUGUGAGAGGCUGAAGACGGUGAAAUGUGCCGUGAGCUCUGCUCUCCACUAGAGACAGAGACAGAGCUCCAGUUGUUGUCGUUCAGGGAGUUUUGAAGCGUAGUUACAUCACUUUCCCCCCUCCUCACAACUUCGUGACACGACGUUUAAGAAACGACUUACUUUUAUAAACAUCAUAUAAAUCCCAACGUGUCUACAAAUCGGGAAUUAUAUUGAUCGUAUUUCUACUUCCUAUUGGACGACAGCGUACCACGUGUCCGGAAAUAAACAAAGAAGACAAAGCUGCGAACUCGAGUCUGUAGUAAAUAUCGCAAAGGAAACCACUCCAGUUGUACAUUAUUACUAUUGUACAUUGUUCCUGUUUCAUAUGGUGAUAUAAAAAUAGGAGUUAAUUUCCCGACCCAUCAGUGAGAUUGACUGUGUGUAGCAUUGGGUCCUCCUCUGCUGCUGUGUCAUGUUAUCGCUUCUCGGCCUUUUGGCUAAGAUCAAGUGUAGUAUCUGUUCUUAUCAGUUUAAUAUCUGAUACGUCCCCUACCCGGGGACCAUAUAUUAAAUUGAUUUUUGGAAUAGGGAGAUGGAAUAGGGGCUUGCUCCGUCCACUCCACGCAUCGACCUGGUAUUGCAGUACCUCCAGGAACGGUGCACCCCCUAAAUGUGUCUAAAAUAAUAUAAUUAAAACUACCACCAGGUCCCUCUGAGUUACAUGACCUCGUCUUGCAUACAGAUUUUGAUAUGUGAUGUUCAGAUUCUCUAUCUCUUUAAGUAUGUGAUGUAAGUUGCUGUUAUAGACGUUUAGCUGGUGAGACAGACAUAGGGUCUAAUGUAAUACAUUGCUGCACUUCUCUCCAGAUUUGAGGAUACAUGGAAAACAUUAAUUAAUUUAAUUACAUUGAUUACAUCUGUUGUUAAACUUCAUAAUACUCAUUUCCCAAGAGGGAACAAUCUGACAGCUCUUGUGUGUGGUCUUGCAUAACAAGUUAAGUAAUAUAAGAUAUAUCAUUGUUAUUAUUUAGCUGUUGGCCAAACACAGAAACAUACACUGUAUAUAACCAGUUGUCAAUUCAUCGCUAAACCUAAAGCAGUCUAAUACAACAGACCUGCAAUAAAUCCUUCCUUCAUGAUCCUGUUCAGUCUAUUGUAGAACUGUAUUCUUUAUAUUUGCUGAACAACCAGCGUUGUUCAUACUCCAGACCAGUAGAUGUCAGUAGCGCACCAGCAGUGAACAAAGAAACAGGAAGUGGUUGUAAUGUGAGCGAAGCAGAGAACAUGUGAUUUUAUUCUUUCCUCUGAACUUAAAAUGUCGAUCAAACUACUUUUAACAGCAGUUUUAUUGAGCAUAGUCUUAUCUGACCUCCCUGUUGAACUGUUACUCAUUUGUUGAAGAUGAAUAGAUACAGCUGGCGAUUUUAGGUUGGCUUUUGAUAUGUAAAUACAGCAUUGCAUGGUGGGAAAUUUGACCAUAAUGUCUCAAGUAAAAUGUAAAUAAUCGUUGUCAUGCAUGUGUCCAAGUGUCCAGGAAAACAAAGUGCCGAGUGUGCCAAGACCUCCAGCGAUCUACUGCAGUUUGUUUGUUAGCAGAUCGCUAAAUUCGGAUUUCUUCCUACUUAGUAUUCAUAUUGUUGCAGCUCAACUUGUGAUUGGUCGUCUACAGUCGAAUCCGAAGAUCUGAUUGGAAGUCUACGGUCGAUCUGACCAAUCACAACGCUUAACUGUCGACAAUCGGUGCGCACUUGACUGUAGACUUUGCACUACUGCAGACUGAGCUCUGCGAAUUUCUCAAAUGUAGAAAUCUCGACUGCAUAAUUUGUGGUCGUGGGGGACUGCGUUCGCGCUCUCCCCUGAUUAAUAUGUGAAAAAAUAAACAUAAAGUUUGGCUUUAUGAAAUUAAACAAAACGGUCAAUAAUCAAAAGUUCAGAAUUGUACUGCUGUGAAGCAGUUCGUGAUUUUGGUGUGAAAUAGUCUCUUGGUAAAUUCAAAUCAGUUCCUUCAAUGUUAUUGUAUACACUUCCAUAUAUUUGUUUGCCUUUGCAUUAUAUGUAUUCACUGGUAAAAUGUUUACUAAACUGUUGGGACAAUUAUGUAAACAGUGAUGGUUAUAAAUACUGUGAAGAAUACAUGAAUUCAGUCUCACCAGAAACCCUGUAGCUCAGCGCGGCAGGUAACGGUAGAUUCUGAACGCUAAAUUCGGAUUUCUUCCUACUUAGUAUUCAUUUUGUUGCAGCUCGACUUGUGAUUGGUCGUCUACGGUCGAAUCCAAAGAUCUGAUUGGAAGUCUACGGUCGAUCUGACCAAUCACAAAACGUUAUUGUCUACAGUCGCUGGCACUUGACUGUAGACUUUGCAAUACUGCAGACUCGAGCUCUGCCUAAAAUAAUAUCAUUAAAACUACCAGCAGCUCCCUUAAAGUUAUAAUAUGUUGUAUUACUUGCAGUCUAUGUAAUGUUCAGAUGUUCUAACUCUAUUUAAAGUAUGUGAUUCAAAUUGCUGUUAUAGGUGUUUAAUUGCUGAGUGAGACACUGGGUUUAAUUUAAUACAUUAACAGUUCAGUAAAAAAAUAAAACAUUCAUUGAUUUAUUCACACUGAUUACAUCGGUUGUUGGACUUCAUAAUACUCAUUUUACAAGAGGAAACAUUCUGACGCUCAGUUUUCUCUUGUGUGAUUUCACACAAAGACUCAAAUAAAAAAAGUUAAGUAAUCCAAUACUUGUCAUCCUUAUUAUUUAGCUGUUAGCCAUACACAGAAACAUACACUUUAUAUUCAACCAGUUGUCAAUUCAUCGCUAAACCUAAAGCAGUCUAAUACAACAGACAUGCAAUAAAUCCUUCCUUCAAAAUCCUGUUCAGUCUAUUGUAGAACUGUAUUCUUUAUAUUUGCUGAACAACCAGCGUUGUUCAUACUCCAGACCAGUAGAUGUCAGUAGCGCACCAGCAGUGAACAAAGAAGCAGGAAGUGGUUGUGAUGUGAGCGAAGCAGAGAACAUGUGAUUUUAUUCUUUCCUCUGAAUUUAAAAUGUGGAUCAAACUAAUGUUAACAGCAGCUUGAUUUAGCUUCGUCUCAUCUGAACUCACUGCUUAACUGUUACAACAACAGUUACAAAAGUUAGUUGGAGAUAAAUCGAUACAGCUGCCCCAUCAGUCAACACGGUUUGUCUGUGAAAGACUCCCCGACCUCGGACGUGUACAACUCAUACUUACCUGGCAGGGGAGAUACCAUGAUCAAGAAGGUGGUUCACCCAAGGCGAGGCUUGGCCAUUGCACUGAGGCUAAGCUGACCUUUGCGAAUUUCUCAAAUGUAGAAAUCUCGACUGCAAAAUUUGUGGUAGUGGGGGACUGCGUUCGCGCUCUCCCCUGAUUAAAAUGUGAAAAAUAAACAUUAC